UGGAGAGUUUGAUCCUGGCUCAGAUUGAACGCUGGCGGCAGGCCUAACACAUGCAAGUCGAGCGGAUGACAGGAGCUUGCUCCUGAAUUCAGCGGCGGACGGGUGAGUAAUGCCUAGGAAUCUGCCUGGUAGUGGGGGACAACGUUUCGAAAGGAACGCUAAUACCGCAUACGUCCUACGGGAGAAAGCAGGGGACCUUCGGGCCUUGCGCUAUCAGAUGAGCCUAGGUCGGAUUAGCUAGUUGGUGAGGUAAUGGCUCACCAAGGCGACGAUCCGUAACUGGUCUGAGAGGAUGAUCAGUCACACUGGAACUGAGACACGGUCCAGACUCCUACGGGAGGCAGCAGUGGGGAAUAUUGGACAAUGGGCGAAAGCCUGAUCCAGCCAUGCCGCGUGUGUGAAGAAGGUCUUCGGAUUGUAAAGCACUUUAAGUUGGGAGGAAGGGCWGUAACUUAAUACGYUGCUGUUUUGACGUUACCGACAGAAUAAGCACCGGCUAACUCUGUGCCAGCAGCCGCGGUA
rnacentral:rRNA from 1 species